UACGUAGGGGGCGAGCGUUGUCCGGAUUCAUUGGGCGUAAAGCGCGCGCAGGCGGCUUCGUAAGUCGGCCGUGAAAUCUCCGGGCUUAACUCGGAGGGGUCGGGCGAGACUGCGAGGCUCGAGGCGGGUAGAGGGCAGUGGAAUUCCGGGUGUAGUGGUGGAAGUGGCGUGAGAGAGUCCGGAGGAACACCAGUGGCGAAGGCGGCUGCCCUGGGCCCGAC
rnacentral:rRNA from 1 species